rnacentral:rRNA from 1 species
UACAGAGGGGGCAAGCGUUAUUCGGAAUUAUUGGGCGUAAAGGGCGCGUAGGCGGCCAUGCGUGUCUUCCGUGAAAUCCCUCGGCUUAACUGAGGACGUGCGGAAGAAACUGCAAGGCUUGAGUCCGGGAGAGGGGGGUGGAAUUCCCAGUGUAGCGGUGAAAUGCGUAGAUAUUGGGAGGAACACCGGUGGCGAAGGCGGCCCCCUGGACCGGUACUGACGCUGAGGCGCGAAAGCGUGGGUAGCAAACGGG